AUCUAUUUUUGUGGUUCAUAAAGCCACGAUGAUUGGGUUUCCACAUUCUUGUGAGAUUGGCCUCCCUCAAACUGUAUUAUGAUGUCAGCACAUUACCCUUGAUG